GGAGUGCUUAAGGUCUUAGGCUGAGAGGCGGGAAAUCCACCGUCAAUCCUAUGGGAGAAACCCAGAACCUGAUCCGGAUAAUGCCGGCGUAGGGAGAAUGAUGAA
rnacentral:ncRNA from 1 species